GGGUGCGAUCAUACCAACGUUAAUGAACCGGAUCCCAUCAGAACUCCACAGUUAAUCACGCUUGGGCUAGAGUAGUAUUGGGAUGGGUGACCUCUCAGGAAGUCCUAGUGUUGCACCCU
rnacentral:rRNA from 1 species